rnacentral:misc_RNA from 1 species
AUUUCCUGCGUCUGCUUUAACUUCUGAUGACUCCAGUUUGAUCAAGUCCUACAUGAGUUCCGCAAAAUCACCUCAAGCAGCUGUAUUAAAAAGUGAAGUCAUUAAGGAUUCUACUGCGCCUAUAGUUGCUUCCUUCUCUUCACGUGGCCCAAAUAUCAUAGCACAAGAUAUUAUGAAGCCAGAUGUAAGUGCCCCAGGGGUAGAUAUAUAAGCAGCAUACGUACCUAUUGUUUCACCCUCAUCUAGCAGUGAUGAUAAGAGGCGAGUUGAAUACAAUGUACUCUCAGGAACUUCCAUGUCU